AGGUUGUCAGUUCGUGAAGGGAGGUGGGUGUGACCAAUUACGAAGAAAAGUGUCACAGUUCAACUCCAAAGCUAUGAAUGACUACAGAACUACAAACGCCUAGUGUUACUUACUGUACAUGAAAAGGCAGGACUUCGAUCAGUUAGGUAGCUAACGUUACACUGCUUAGUCCGGUUUAGAAUGACUUUUGCCAACAUCGAAAUAACUUGGUCAAAAUGUAUUAUCAACCUAACUCGUUCCUGACUGGGGCAAACCAGAAAUAUUCUGCACUACUUUUAAUAAUGGUGUCUGUUUACAACGUGUGUUGGAGAAAAGAAGAGGAGAAGAUCGGAGAGAAGUAUAGUGGCGGAACGGUCACUCUCUCCUGCAGGGCAUGUAGGAUUGAGAUGGAUGAGACAGAGGUGAGAUGAACUACCCUGUUUGAAAUGAUCUUGUGAGGACACUGAGACAGAAGCAAGACUUCUUAGUUAGAUCCCACCGGCUCAGCCUGUCUCAUACUGUACCUUGGCAGGUGGGAAUGCAAUCAUUUCGUUUGAACUAUAGUAUGUAUUACUGUGUGUACAUUUCACUUUUCAGGCAUUAUAAAAAAGAUCAUAUCUGGGUAUCACAAGGAUAUGAUAUCAUUAAUUGACAAGUGCAUUUUGGUUUAGAAAAAUAUUUGAUUGAAAGGAUCCACCCAGAGGACCUCAAAGCAUUGAAAUCAAAUACUUAAAUUCUAUAUUUUUUAAACACUUUUUUUUAAUGUAUUCCCUGGUUUAGUGUACUAUUGCCUUUAUCCUAUAUGUAAUAUGAUGGACUGUAUAUAUCCCUUCCAUACACAGACCAAAAUACCAAAUAUGUACCAUGCCAGCUUUUUCAUAGAUCUGAAAGGGUGUAAAAAACAUGGUCAAUUAAAAUCCACCUAAAGACCUAGUCAUGGGGCGGCAGGUAGCCUAGUGGUUAGAGCGUUGGGCCAGGAACCGAAAGGUUGCUAGAUCGAAUCCCCGAGCUGACAAGGUAAAAAUCUGUCGUUCUGCCACUGAACAAGGCAGUUAACCCACUGUUCCUAGGCCGUCAUUGUAAAUAGGAAUUUGUUCUUAACUGACUUGCUUAGUUAAAUAAGACAGACCCUGUAACCGAAAUACAGGUAUUGGGUAUGUGUGAAUGGUUCCCUGCUUUUUUGUAAGUCAAUUCAUCAACACUUCUAUUGUUUAACACCUCCCUAAUUUGAAAUGCAAACAGCAGUGGUUUAAAAAAUGUGUAUAAUACAGUGGAGGCUGCUGAGGGGAGGACAGCUCAUAAUAAUGGCUGGAAGGGAGCGAAUGGAAUGGCAUCAAACACAUAGAAACCACGUGUUUGAUGUAUUUGACACCAUUCCACUAAUUCCACUUCUGCUAUUACCACAAGCUUGUCCUCCCCAAUUAAGGUGCCACCAACCUCCUGUGGUAUAAUAGCGGUAUACCUGCAAAUAAGUGAUAAAUAAGGGGCUGUUUGAAAGGGGGUCAUAUAAACAUUGCCUUAUAUUUUUUACAGGUUGGUGUUUUUUUUGUUAUUUCCUGUGUGAUCGUGUCAUGUGGCUCUUCAUAACUUGUCCUUUCCUGACACUCAGGGGACCCUGUCAAUUAGCUGUAUUCUGUUUAUAUUUCCUCCCGUUAGAACACCUGGCAAACAAUUACUCUACUGUUAAAGCAGGAGGGAGUUUUUGGACAAAGCACCUCAUAGCUCCCAAGUGAUGACAUGGAUCUGUUAAAUGGCUCUAAAGCGGUUUUUGUGUUAAAAAAGAGAGCCUCUUUGCAGACUUUUGUCUUUGAAAGGCAUUGCCUGAGGCUCAACUACUACGAGGCUGCCUGUUAAUGACUUGUCAAGAGAGGGAGGGGAACAGCUGGAGACAGGAGAUCAUGCUAAGCUCUGCUGGGUUUUCCUCAUUGAAGUUGUGAUUCCUCGGUUGUUGAGGGCGAUUUGUUGAAAUCCUUGAUGUCUCAAAAUGGUUCUGUACCUUUAACAUAACAACAAUAAAUUCUUUGAAACUAA